rnacentral:rRNA from 1 species
GACGAACGCUGGCGGCGUGCCUAAUACAUGCAAGUAGAACGCUGAAGAGAGGAGCUUGCUCUUCUUGGAUGAGUUGCGAACGGGUGAGUAACGCGUAGGUAACCUGCCUUGUAGCGGGGGAUAACUAUUGGAAACGAUAGCUAAUACCGCAUAACAAUGGGUGACACAUGUUUUUUAUUUUAAAGGGGCAAUUGCUCCACUACAAGAUUGGCCUGCGUUGUAUUAGCUAGUAGGUGAGGUAAUGGCUCACCUAGGCGACGAUACAUAGCCGACCUGAGGAGGUGAUCGGCCACACUGGGACUGAGACACGGCCCAGACUCCUACGGGAGGCAGCAGUAGGGAAUCUUCGGCAAUGGGGGCAAACCUGACCGAGCAACGCCGCGUGAGUGAAGAAGGUUUUCGGAUCGUAAAGCUCUGUUGUAAGUCAAGAACGGGUGUGAGAGUGGAAAGUUCACACUGUGACGGUAGCUUACCAGAAAGGGACGGCUAACUACGUG